ensembl:lncRNA
AGGGUUCGGAUCCUGGGCGUGGACAUGGCACUGCUCGUCAGGUCACGUUGAGGUGGCGUCCCACAUCCCACAACUAGAAGGACCUGCAACUAAGAUAUACAACUAUGCCGGAGACAGAAUCUGCCUGUCUUUCGAAAUCCUCUCCCAAAGAACACCUGCCUGGAACAGGGCAGAAGCAGAGACGUCCCUUCUGAUGGCUCAUCGCCCCAGCUGCGCAUGCGCCCAGUGCUGCCUCGUCUCUCCUGCAUCGGUCCUGGCCUCAGUUUCUCCACCGUGUCCUUCCUUCAUCCCCAGCCAGGAUGCACUCUGUCUAGCUAUGGGAACCAGCUGAACCAGCUCUCUUUCUGUGGUUGCUACAGCAAAUUACUGCUAACUUAGUGGUUUAACACAAUACAAAUUUAUUCUCCUACAGUUCUGGGAGUCAGAAGUCCGAAAUGACUCUUAUGAGGCUAACAUCAAGCUGUGAGUAGGGCUGUGUUCCUCCUAGGAGGUCCGUGGAGAAUCUAUGUUCUUUUCUCUUCCAGAAUCUGGAGGCUGCAAGCAUUCCUUGGCUCAGUGCCCCUCCCCCCUUCAAAGCUCAUCGUUCCAACUCCUGCUUCUGUCACUGCAUCUUUCUUCUGCCGUUGACCCUCCUGCCUCCCUCUUAUAAGGACCCUUGUGAUUAUAUUGGGCACGUCCAGAUAAUCCAGGAUAAUCUCCCCAUCUCAAAAUCCUUAGUGUAGUUACGUCAGCACAGUCCAUUUGGACGUAUGAAGCAGUAUAUUCACACAUCUCAGGGGUCAGGGCGUGAAUCCCUUUGGGGGGAGGGGGGUCAUUUUUCUGUCCCCUGCAUGUCCUGAAGCCUAGCCAAGCACCAUUUUGAUCACUUCCUCCUUUCACUGCUAAAACAUACGGAGUUGAAUUGGGCGCCCUACUCUGGCCAAAUUCACGUCCAUCUAGACCCUGGGAACGUGGCCUUUUUUGGAAAUAGGCUCUUUGCAGAUGUAAUCAGCUAAGAGGAGGUCAAACUGAAGUAGAGUGGGCCCUAAAUCCAAUACGACUGGCACCCUUAUAAGAAGAGGGCAUUUGGACACAGAGACACAAAGACCCACAGGGAAGAA